UACGGAGGGGGCUAGCGUUAUUCGGAAUUACUGGGCGUAAAGCGCACGUAGGCGGAUUGGAAAGUUGGAGGUGAAAUCCCAGGGCUCAACCUUGGAACUGCCUUCAAAACUCCCAGUCUUGAGGUCGAGAGAGGUAAGUGGAAUUCCGAGUGUAGAGGUGAAAUUCGUAGAUAUUCGGAGGAACACCAGUGGCGAAGGCGGCUUACUGGCUCGAUACUGACGCUGAGGUGCGAAAGCGUGGGGAGCAAACAGG
rnacentral:rRNA from 1 species